rnacentral:rRNA from 1 species
UACGUAGGGUGCAAGCGGUAAUCGGAAUUACUGGGCGUAAAGCGUGCGCAGGCGGUUUUGUAAGUCUGACGUGAAAUCCCCGGGCUCAACCUGGGAAUUGCGUUGGAGACUGCAAGGCUAGAAUCUGGCAGAGGGGGGUAGAAUUCCACGUGUAGCAGUGAAAUGCGUAGAGAUGUGGAGGAACACCGAUGGCGAAGGCAGCCCCCUGGGUCAAGAUUGACGCUCAUGCACGAAAGCGUGGGGAGCAAACAGG